GGGCCGCGCCGGCUGGCUCAUCGGUUCUCAGGGUAGAGUCCCAUCCCUGGCCCGCAGUCCGAACAAUCGAUUACACCAUCGAUACACAAACAGCUGUGGCGAACGGAACUACACAACACUACAACAAAAGUCGACGGAAAUCCACAACAUAAACAACAAAACCUGCAAUAAACUACAAAACGGAUCCCGGUUCCGGACCCAGGCGUACCCGCCCUGCCUGAGAUGACCACCUCAACGUCAUCUCCCUCUUGUUGGCCACCGAAUGGACCUACUUCAUCCUGUGUUGGCCAUCGUGUUUCUCCCUCCCCCCUACAGCAAUAAUUAUACGGACAUUUUCAUGUUCAGAUGGACGAGGAACGAAAACAUGGCCAUCAACAUAAAUAAUGGCAUAUACAAAUUUGCACCGUAAAUGUGCGACACAAGGCUGUUGCGGAGACGCCGCGGGACAAAUAUAUAUAUAUAUAUAUAUAUAUAUAUGUUUAUACGUAUGUAUGUUAUGGAAUGGUAUGUUAAGGUUAAAUGUGAAUCGCUUAAUAUUACCUUAGCCUGCCUAAAGAGCUCUCUGGGUGGUUUAAGGGGCGAUGUAAGGCUUUCAGUUAAUUUCGUUUAUCUUUAAGAUAAUAAAUUUUAAGUUUAAUUCUUUGUUCACUUUUCGUCUAUUUUUGCCAAUAAAGCUUAGACAGCGACUGCUCUACACAAAACGCACUAUGUGUAAUUAUUCAUAAAAAAAAA